rnacentral:rRNA from 1 species
CCUACGGGUGGCAGCAGUGGGGAAUAUUGGCAAUGGGCGCAAGCCUGACCCAGCAACGCCGCGUGAAGGAAGAAGGCUUUCGGGUUGUAAACUUCUUUUCUGAGGGGCGAAACAAUUGACGGUACCUCAGGAAUAAGCCACGGCUAACUACGUGCCAGCAGCCGCGGUAAUACGUAGGUGGCAAGCGUUAUCCGGAUUUAUUGGGUGGAAAGGGCGUGUAGGCGGGAAAGCAAGUCAGAUGUGAAAACUCAGGGCGUAACCCUGAGCCUGCAUUUGAAACUGUUUUUCUUGAGUGCUGGAGAGGCAAUCGGAAUUCCGUGUGGAGCGGUGAAAUGCGUAGAUAUACGGAGGAACACCAGUGGCGAAGGCGGAUUGCUGGACAGUAACUGACGCUGAGGCGCGAAAGCGUGGGGAGCAAACAGGAUUAGAUACCCUUGUAGUC